AACGAACGCUGGCGGCAUGCCUAACACAUGCAAGUCGAACGAACCCUUCGGGUCUAGUGGCGCACGGGUGCGUAACGCGUGGGAACCUGCCCUUAGGUUCGGAAUAACUCCCCGAAAGGGGUGCUAAUACCGGAUAAUGUCUUCGGACCAAAGAUUUAUCGCCUUUGGAUGGGCCCGCGUUUGAUUAGCUAGUUGGUAGGGUAAAAGCCUACCAAGGCGACGAUCCAUAGCUGGUCUGAGAGGAUGAUCAGCCACACUGGGACUGAGACACGGCCCAGACUCCUACGGGAGGCAGCAGUGGGGAAUAUUGGACAAUGGGCGAAAGCCUGACGCAGCCAUGCCGCGUGAGUGAUGAAGGCCUUAGGAUUGUAAAGCUCUUUUACCCGGGAUGAUAAUGACAGUACCGGGAGAAUAAGCUCCGGCUAACUCCGUG
rnacentral:rRNA from 1 species